GCUGUGAGCUCGAUGAGUAGGGCGGGACACGUGGUAUCCUGUCUGAAUAUGGGGGGACCAUCCUCCAAGGCUAAAUACUCCUGACUGACCGAUAGUGAACCAGUACCGUGAGGGAAAGGCGAAAAGAACCCCGGCGAGGGGAGUGAAAAAGAACCUGAAACCGUGUACGUACAAGCAGUGGGAGCACGCUUAGGCGUGUGACUGCGUACCUUUUGUAUAAUGGGUCAGCGACUUAUAUUCUGUAGCAAGGUUAACCGAAUAGGGGAGCCGAAGGGAAACCGAGUCUUAACUGGGCGUUAAGUUGCAGGGUAUAGACCCGAAACCCGGUGAUCUAGCCAUGGGCAGGUUGAAGGUUGGGUAACACUAACUGGAGGACCGAACCGACUAAUGUUGAAAAAUUAGCGGAUGACUUGUGGCUGGGGGUGAAAGGCCAAUCAAACCGGGAGAUAGCUGGUUCUCCCCGAAAGCUAUUUAGGUAGCGCCUCGUGAAUUCAUCUCCGGGGGUAGAGCACUGUUUCGGCAAGGGGGUCAUCCCGACUUACCAACCCGAUGCAAACUGCGAAUACCGGAGAAUGUUAUCACGGGAGACACACGGCGGGUGCUAACGUCCGUCGUGAAGAGGGAAACAACCCAGACCGCCAGCUAAGGUCCCAAAGUCAUGGUUAAGUGGGAAACGAUGUGGGAAGGCCCAGACAGCCAGGAUGUUGGCUUAGAAGCAGCCAUCAUUUAAAGAAAGCGUAAUAGCUCACUGGUCGAGUCGGCCUGCGCGGAAGAUGUAACGGGGCUAAACCAUGCACCGAAGCUGCGGCAGCGACGCUUAUGCGUUGUUGGGUAGGGGAGCGUUCUGUAAGCCUGUGAAGGUGUGCUGUGAGGCAUGCUGGAGGUAUCAGAAGUGCGAAUGCUGACAUAAGUAACGAUAAAGCGGGUGAAAAGCCCGCUCGCCGGAAGACCAAGGGUUCCUGUCCAACGUUAAUCGGGGCAGGGUGAGUCGACCCCUAAGGCGAGGCCGAAAGGCGUAGUCGAUGGGAAACAGGUUAAUAUUCCUGUACUUGGUGUUACUGCGAAGGGGGGACGGAGAAGGCUAUGUUGGCCGGGCGACGGUUGUCCCGGUUUAAGCGUGUAGGCUGGUUUUCCAGGCAAAUCCGGAAAAUCAAGGCUGAGGCGUGAUGACGAGGCACUA
rnacentral:rRNA from 1 species